AAAUUGAAGAGUUUGAUCAUGGCUCAGAUUGAACGCUGGCGGCAGGCCUAACACAUGCAAGUCGAACGGUAGCACAGAGGAGCUUGCUCCUUGGGUGACGAGUGGCGGACGGGUGAGUAAUGUCUGGGAAAUUGCCCGAUGGAGGGGGAUAA
rnacentral:rRNA from 1 species